AGGCAGCAGUUGGGAAUCUUCCGCAAUGGACGAAAGUCUGACGGAGUAACGCCGCGUGAGUGAUGAAGGUUUUCGGAUCGUAAAACUCUGUUGUUAGGGAAGAACAAGUACCGUUCGAAUAGGGCGGCACCUUGACGGUACCUAACCAGAAAGCCACGGCUAACUACGUGCCAGCAGCCGCGGUAAUACGUAGGUGGCAAGCGUUGUCCGGAAUUAUUGGGCGUAAAGCGCGCGCAGGCGGUUUCUUAAGUCUGAUGUGAAAGCCCCCGGCUCAACCGGGGAGGGUCAUUGGAAACUGGGGAACUUGAGUGCAGAAGAGGAGAGUGGAAUUCCACGUGUAGCGGUGAAAUGCGUAGAGAUGUGGAGGAACACCAGUGGCGAAGGCGACUCUCUGGUCUGUAACUGACGCUGAGGCGCGAAAGCGUGGGGAGCGAACAGGAUUAGAUACCCUAGUAGUCC
rnacentral:rRNA from 1 species